ACCCCCAACUCCUUCCCCGUUUUUCUAUAAUCAUUUUUUCCCUCGUUUUUCUCUGCUCCGCCCUUUGCCGUUGGCUGUGUCGGAGACCACCGGAGGACCGCCGUCUCUGCCUCUUAACACACGCCGCCUCCCCCAUUCCGCUUUACGCCAUCGUGUUUCUCCGGUGUUAGCCAACGGCUUGUAUUCUCAAUAUCCUCUCAACGCCCUCCAUUUUUUGAUUUCCGAUUAUAUUAACUCAAUUCGCUCUCUACGAUUGCUGAAUUUCUUCAUUUGCAUUUUGGUUGAUUCAUCUUCAUUUUUUUUUCGUUUCUGGGAUUGGUGUUUAGUUUUUGUUCGGCAAUAAUGAACGGUCAUGAUACGGAGCCGUUGGUGUACGUUCACGGCGACCUCGAUUUGAAGAUCAUUGAGGCGCGCCGUUUGCCUAAUAUGGAUUUGCUAUCGGAACGUAUUAGGCGGUUUUUUACUGUUUUUAGUUCUUGUCAGAAACCGUUUUCCAAGAAGAAGGAUAAGGAGGAUCACCAGCACCACCGGAAGAUUAUUACUAGUGAUCCUUACGUCACCGUCUGUCUUGCUGGAGCGACGGUUGCUCGGACACGAGUUAUUUCGAACUCGCAGAACCCUAUCUGGAAUGAGCACUUCAAAAUCCCUCUUGCUCAUCCGGUCUCGCAGGUGGAGUUUCAUGUCAAGGAUAACGAUGUGUUUGGUGCGGAUUUGAUUGGUAUUGCAACAGUCCCUGCGCGCAGAGUUCUUUCUGGCGAAACCAUAGAUGAUUGGUUUCCGAUUAUCGGUUCAUUUGGGAAACCGCCGAAGCCGGAUUCGGCUGUGCGUUUGGAAAUGAAAUUCACAAAGUGCGAGGACAAUCCUCUGUACCGUUAUGGCAUUGCGGCCGAUCCCGAACAUUUUGGCGUUCGGAAUUGCUAUUUUCCGAUACGGCAUGGGGGUUCAAUAACGCUUUAUCAGGACGCACACAUUCCUGAUUCCAUGUUGGAGAAGAUUGAAUUGGAAAAUGGAUUGUAUCAGCAUGAGAAUUGCUGGGAGGAUAUAUGCCAUGCAAUUUUGGAGGCUCACCAUUUAGUAUACAUCGCCGGUUGGUCCAUAUAUCAUAAGGUGAAGCUGGUGAGAGAGCCUUCAAAGCCGUUGCCUAAUGGUGGGAAUUUGAACUUGGGAGAGUUGCUCAAGUACAAGUCACAAGAAGGGGUGCGAGUCUUGUUAUUGGUUUGGGAUGACAAGACUUCCCACAGCAAAUUCUUCAUUAAUACGACAGGAGUGAUGCAAACUCAUGAUGAGGAGACCCGGAAGUUUUUCAAGCACUCUUCUGUGUCAUGUGUGCUGUCACCCCGAUAUGCCAGCAGUAAGCUUAGCAUUUUUAAGCAACAGGUUGUUGGAACGCUUUUCACCCAUCACCAGAAGUGCGUGAUUGUGGAUACACAAGCAUCUGGAAAUUACCGGAAGAUAAGUUCUUUUAUUGGAGGACUUGACCUUUGUGAUGGCCGUUACGAUACUCCCGAGCAUCGGUUGCUAAAAGAUCUUGACACUGUAUUUGAUAAUGAUUAUCAUAAUCCAACUUUUUCUGGAGGUACUAAGGGUCCUCGGCAGCCAUGGCAUGAUUUACAUUGCAAAAUUGAAGGGCCUGCGGCAUAUGAUGUGCUUACUAACUUUGAACAACGAUGGCGGAAAGCCACAAAAUGGUCUGAAUUAGGUCAGCGGUUCAAAAGAGUAUCACAUUGGCAUGAAGAUGCUUUAAUAAAGUUGGAACGCAUAUCUUGGAUACUUAGUCCAUCUCAGUCAGUCCCCAAUGAUGAUCCUAUGUUAUGGGUUUCCAAGGAAAAUGAUCCUGACCAUUGGCAUGUUCAGGUUUUCCGAUCCAUAGAUUCAGGAUCUUUGAAAGGAUUUCCCAAAGAUGUUUUUCAAGCUGAGUUGCAGAAUCUGGUUUGUGCAAAAAAUUUGGUUAUUGACAAGAGUAUUCAAACAGCAUAUAUUCAAGCAAUAAGAUCUGCCCAACACUUCAUAUACAUUGAGAAUCAGUAUUUUCUUGGAUCAUCGUUUGCCUGGCCUUCGUACAAAGAAGCAGGUGCUGAUAAUCUUAUUCCUAUGGAGUUGGCGUUGAAGAUUGCUAGUAAGAUAAGAGCCAAUGAGAGGUUUGCUGUCUACAUUGUGAUACCAAUGUGGCCUGAAGGGGCUCCCACUUCUGUUUCUGUGCAAGAAAUCCUGUUUUGGCAGGGUCAGACAAUCCAAAUGAUGUAUGAAGUCAUUGGACGAGAGUUGAAAUACAAGAAUCUUGAGAACGCUCAUCCCUCAGACUACUUAAACUUUUACUGUCUUGGCAAUAGGGAACCACACGAGGACUUAACAUGUUCCUCUGGUCAUUGUUCCAAGAGCGAAGACAUGGUUUCAGACUCGCAAAAGUUCCGUAGAUUCAUGAUAUAUGUGCAUGCGAAAGGAAUGAUUGUUGACGAUGAGUAUGUAAUAGUAGGGUCAGCAAAUAUAAAUCAAAGAUCAAUGGCUGGUUCAAGGGACACUGAGAUUGCCAUGGGUGCAUAUCAACCCACUUACACAUGGGGUAAGAAGAAACAACAUCCACGAGGCCAGAUUUAUGGCUAUAGAAUGUCGCUCUGGGCUGAACAUUUGGGAAACAUAGACGAUUGCUUCAAGGAGCCAGAAAGUUUGACUUGUGUGAACGCAGUCAACAAGAUAGCUGAAGAUAACUGGAAGAAAUACACAGCAACAGAAUAUACGCCAUUGCAAGGGCACCUCCUUAAGUACCCGAUCGAGGUCAGCAAAAGUGGGAAGAUAGGUCCGUUAACUGGACACGAGACCUUCCCUGACUUUGGUGGUAAGGUCCUUGGAGCUCGAUCUAACCUCCCUGAUGCUCUUACUACAUAAGCUUUUACUCUUCUCGUGGCUUCUUAUCAAUUUGACUUCUAUUUUGAGUUCAAUUCUCUUCACUUUCAAGCAUGGGAAAGAGAGGCGUAUUUGUUCAAGGAUGGAGCAGAAACAAAGCCCUAUAAUAGUAAGUGCCGUCAAGAUAAAUCGUCUCGUGAUUGAAUUGUACCCGAAAAAGUAGUCAUCUGAUACAGUUGACCCAUUUGUUAAUUCUCUUUGUGCACAACGAUCAUGUCGUCCAUGCUAGUAAGAAUAUAUUCCGUGUGGAUUCGAUGCCAGUUUACCUCUCAAAUCAAUAUGGUGUAGUGCUAAGAGUAUAUAGGACAACGAAGGUAUUGUUUGUCGCAGACCGACUGUCUCAACACUAUCUAGAUGAUGUUACUCUACUAUAUGGAAGCAUAUAAGAUGGCUAACGGUCAACUAGAUGUUUCACCAUCACGACAGUAAUUAGGUAGAGAUGACCAAAUCUGUUGUGUAUGGC